rnacentral:misc_RNA from 1 species
GACACCAUUAUCUCGGAAAACCAGCCGAUAACUACCAAGAUUGAUCUCCUCCAGCCACAAACCAACAUCCUCGACAGUCCAGAUGAAGAAGUCGAGCGGCUCCGGCGCGCGGCCCUCGCCGGCGCCGGGGCUCCGGCGGGAUCUCAUGAAGCGGGGAGCCAGCGGCGCCGGUCGGGAUGGAGGCGGUGGACUCUCGGCGCGGAUCUGAGUCGCCAGCAUCGGCAGCUGCGACGGACAGAGAUUUCAAUUCAUCGGCGUUUCCUGUUUGGGAAGGAAGCGCAAGGACGGAAAUGGUUGAAGUUUUU